AUUGAACGCUGGCGGCAUGCCUUACACAUGCAAGUCGAACGGCAGCACGGGUGCUUGCACCUGGUGGCGAGUGGCGAACGGGUGAGUAAUACAUCGGAACGUACCUUAUCGUGGGGGAUAACGCAGCGAAAGCUGUGCUAAUACCGCAUACGCCCUGAGGGGGAAAGCGGGGGAUCGCAAGACCUCGCGCGAUUAGAGCGGCUGAUGCCUGAUUAGCUUGUUGGUGGGGUAAAAGCCCACCAAGGCGAGGAUCAGUAGCUGGUCGGAAAGGACGAGAGGCCAAACUGGGAAUGAGACACGGCCCAGACGCCUAGGGGAGGCGGCAGUGGGGAAUUUUGUACGAUGGGGGCAACCCUGAUCCAGCAAUGCCGCGUGAUGGAAGAAGGCCUUCGGGUUGUAAAGCUCUUUUGUCAGGGAAGAAACACCGGCUCUAACACAGUCCGGGAAUGACGGUACCUGAAGAAUAAGCACCGGCUAACUACGUGCCAGCCGCCGCCGUAA
rnacentral:rRNA from 1 species